rnacentral:snRNA from 1 species
GUGUAACUUCGGUUACACGUAUACUAAAAUUGGAACGAUACAGAGAAGAUUAGCAUGGCCCCUGCGCAAGGAUGACACGCAAAUUACGUGAAGCGUUCCUCAUUUUG